GAAGGUUGCAAAUCGAGCCAUUGUUGUACGGGAUGCAUACAGGUUUCAUCAUUUUGCAAAUGGUGACUGUUCCUGCAAUGAUUUUUGGUAAUUGGAGCUAUUGAGGGCCCGCAGUGUGGUGAAGAGGGUUUUAGGUUCUAGAAUUUGGAGAUGGCAUAUUAAACUGCCAGUAUUUUUGAGAUUGAUGCUCUGGACACCUGACCAAUACCUCUCUGGAUACCUUCCCAAUAGAGAUGAACCUUGCAAGCAUUUGAAGUGCUAUCAAGAUAAAAACACUAGCAAGUCUCACAUAGCUUUCAAGCUUCCAGGACAGUCUAGUGGUAAGAGUGCAGUACGUGAUGUGUGUGUGGGUUAGGCUCACGUCAAGGGUUCGAAUCCACUGCAGAUAAAGGUUGGUGUUUAAGUGGAGAAGGGUAGAGAGGUGGAUUGAUUAUCCACCAAGUUUCGAACACCCCACGCCCCACGGGGUAUUUUCUCGGUUAUCAAAAAAAUGUCUCAAGUAGCUUUCAAGUGCAUUAGUGCCAAACAACUGGACCAAAAAGCUGUUUCAUGCAUCCUCGCGGAGCGAUUUAUCCGUAAUGAUAGCUGCUGUAAUCAAAUGGCAGAGCAUCCAGAGAAUAAUGAAAACAGAAGGAUCGGAAGGGUAAGCUGAGCUGAUGUGGAAAAUGAGAUUGCUUGUCCUGCUCGAGCCAUUAAGGUGGGAGCUGAGGGAGGAGUGGCUCCUUACUCUGGGACCCCUUGGCUCUACUUAUUGGUCCGUAGAGGAUGGACACUUAAUUCCCAGAAUAAGAAGUAGGUCCCUUAUUUUUGGGCUGAAAGAGUUCGAGCCUUUAGUUUGUUUAAGUAGGUUUGGGCUAAGGUCAUCGUGCUCUUGCCACCUCUUGGCAAAGUAUGUUGACGGGCAAGCCCCCUCCUGUUGCAAUAGUGUGAUCCGUCAGAGGCAAUUCAACAUCAUGAGCCUCAGGGUGAAAGGACCAAUUGAUAAUUUACCUGAGCUGGUUAGUAGAUUAUGUUGCCAUUGUUUGGUACCUUCAGUGUGUAAUUUUUUAUUUAUUUAUGACGGUGGUGUUUGGGCCAAUUUCCACCAAGUUAUGUGAGGCCUUGA